GGCGAAGCCCGCCAGCGCGGGCUA
rnacentral:other from 1 species